rnacentral:rRNA from 1 species
CCUACGGGUGGCUGCAGUGGGGAAUAUUGGACAAUGGGGGGAACCCUGAUCCAGCCAUGCCGCGUGUGUGAAGAAGGCCCUCGGGUUGUAAAGCACUUUCAGUGAGGAAGAACGCCUGGUGGUUAAUACCCAUCAGGAAAGACAUCACUCACAGAAGAAGCACCGGCUAACUCCGUGCCAGCAGCCGCGGUAAUACGGAGGGUGCGAGCGUUAAUCGGAAUUACUGGGCGUAAAGCGCGCGUAGGUGGCUUGAUAAGCCGGUUGUGAAAGCCCCGGGCUCAACCUGGGAACGGCCUCCGGAACUGUCAAGCUAGAGUGCAGGAGAGGAAGGUAGAAUUCCCGGUGUAGCGGUGAAAUGCGUAGAGAUCGGGAGGAAUACCAGUGGCGAAGGCGGCCUUCUGGACUGACACUGACACUGAGGUGCGAAAGCGUGGGUAGCAAACAGGAUUAGAUACCCCAGUAGUC